rnacentral:rRNA from 1 species
UUUCGGUUGAUCCUGCCGGACUGACUGCUAUCUGAUUGGUACUAAGCCAUGCGAGUCGUUGUACAAUACAAGGCGGACUGCUCAGUAACACGUAGUUAAUCUAACCUAUGGGUGGGCAUAACCUCGGGAAACUGAGAAUAAUACCCAAUAGACCACAGUGCCUGGAAUGGCCUGUGGUUCAAAUGAUUUAUCGCCGUAGGAUGGGACUGCGGCCUAUCAGCUAGUUGGUGAGGUAAUGGCCCACCAAGGCUAUAACAGGUACGGGCUCUGAGAGGAGGGGCCCGGAGAUGGGUACUGAGACACGGACCCAGGCCCUAUGGGGCGCAGCAGGCGAGAAACCUUUGCAAUGUGCGAAAGCACGACAAGGUUAAUCCGAGUGUCUCCCGCUAAGGGAGUCUUUUGUCAGUUCUAGAACCACUGGUGAAUAAGGGGUGGGCAAGUUCUGGUGUCAGCCGCCGCGGUAAAACCAGCACCUCGAGUGGUCAGGAGGUUUAUUGGGCCUAAAGCAUCCGUAGCCGGUUGCAUAAGUUUUCGGUUAAAUCUAUGCGCUUAACGUAUAGGCCGCCGAAAAUACUGUGCAGCUAGGGAGUG